rnacentral:rRNA from 1 species
AGAGUUUGAUCCUGGCUCAGGAUGAACGCUAGCGGUAGGCCUAACACAUGCAAGUCGAACGGUAAGGUCCCUUCGGGGAUACACGAGUGGCGCACGGGUGAGUAACGCGUAUGCAACCUGCCUUUAACCGGGGCAUAGCUCCGAGAAAUCGGAAUUAAUACCCCAUAAUAUUCAGAUAAUGCAUAUUAUUUGAAUUAAAGCUCCGGCGGUUAAAGAUGGGCAUGCGUGACAUUAGCUUGUUGGUGAGGUAACGGCUCACCAAGGCUACGAUGUCUAGGGGGUCUGAGAGGAUGGUCCCCCACACUGGUACUGAGACACGGACCAGACUCCUACGGGAGGCAGCAGUGAGGAAUAUUGGUCAAUGGGCGAAAGCCUGAACCAGCCAUGCCGCGUGCAGGAUGAAUGCCCUAUGGGUUGUAAACUGCUUUUAUACAGGAAGAACACCUCCGACGUGUCGGGGACUGACUGUACUGUAUGAAUAAGGAUCGGCUAACUCCGUGCCAGCAGCCGCGGUAAUACGGAGGAUCCGAGUGUUAUCCGGAUUUAUUGGGUUUAAAGGGUGCGUAGGCGGGAUGAUAAGUCAGUGGUGAAAUACUGCAGCUUAACUGUAGAACUGCCAUUGAUACUGUCGUUCUUGAGUGCAGUUGAGGUGGGCGGAAUGUGUCAUGUAGCGGUGAAAUGCUUAGAUAUGACACAGAACACCAAUUGCGUAGGCAGCUCACUAAACUGUUACUGACGCUGAGGCACGAAAGCGUGGGGAGCGAACAGGAUUAGAUACCCUGGUAGUCCACGCUGUAAACGAUGAUUACUCGAUGUGUGCGAUAUAUUGUACGCGUCUGAGCGAAAGCAUUAAGUAAUCCACCUGGGGAGUACGAUCGCAAGAUUGAAACUCAAAGGAAUUGACGGGGGCCCGCACAAGCGGAGGAACAUGUGGUUUAAUUCGAUGAUACGCGAGGAACCUUACCUGGGCUUAAAUGCAGAUUGAUUUUCCAGGAAACUGGUCUUCCCUUCGGGGCAAUUUGCAAGGUGCUGCAUGGUUGUCGUCAGCUCGUGCCGUGAGGUGUCGGGUUAAGUCCCAUAACGAGCGCAACCCUUGUCGUUAGUUGCCAGCGGGUAAUGCCGGGGACUCUAAUGAGACUGCCAGUGUAAACUGUGAGGAAGGUGGGGAUGACGUCAAAUCAGCACGGCCCUUAUGUCCAGGGCUACACACGUGUUACAAUGGCCGGUACAAUGGGCAGCUACCUGGUGACAGGAUGCUAAUCUCCAAAACCGGUCUCAGUUCGGAUCGAAGUCUGCAACUCAACUUCGUGAAGCUGGAUUCGCUAGUAAUCGCACAUCAGCCAUGGUGCGGUGAAUACGUUCCCGGGCCUUGUACACACCGCCCGUCAAGCCAUGGAAGCCGGGGGUGCCUGAAGUCCGUAACCGCAAGGAGCGGCCUAGGGUAAAACUGGUGACUGGGGCUAAGUCGUAACAAGGUA